AAAGCUAUCAGUGAGUUGGUAAUAGGUAAUGCAGAUGUCGACAAAACCAUAGUUUCCUACUGUCAAUAACAAACCUGUUUCUAUAUUGCAACAAAUAAAAUGCUAUAAUGUAAAUACUGAAGAGUGAUCCCAUUUAUAAUGAGUUGGGCCCUCUAGGAAAACUCUUGUCAAAGCAGCAAUUCUCUACUUGCUGUGUGAUUGUAAACUUGACUUUGGAACUGGCUCUUGUAAUACAGUCUACUAUAGUCUUCAUACAUAUUACCACUGUAUUCAUACAUAUUACUACUGUAGGGGUUUGGAAAUCAAGGGGAAAAAUUGUGGGAUGUUAAAAACCACAAACUUAUUUCCAAACCUAUGGCUUCAAAUUUUACAUACUUUGCUUGGUGCCCAGAUAAAGAGCUGUACAAUGUUUUUUCUGCAUCCAGUGAAAUGAUCAUGCAAUUUUUGUCCUUCAUUCUAUUAAUAUGGUGUAAUACAUGACUGAUACUUGUAUACUGAACCUGUCUUGCAACAACUACUACAUGUGCCCCCAGGUUAUGUGUUAAUAAUGGGUGCGAGAUUUUCCAUUAUACUAGCUCUAUCCUGCACAAAAAUAUCAUGCCAUCAAAUGCAGAAAUCGUUAGCGAAAAAUUCUGGACAUAGUAUUUCCAAUAAAAUCAAUAACUUAUUAAGCAGUUCUAAGUACCCUGUGAGGAGCCAAUAUUGCAAUGACUUUUAGAACUCCACUUAGAAGAAAUGAACAAGUCAUUGAUCUUAAGCUACAUGAGGAGGGGCCGCAGAGAAUAUGAAACUACAAGGGCAAAUAACAAGCCAUUUCCCAAAACAUCCCCUAAGAACAAAGGAAGCAUGAAGCCAGUCACUGCAAAACAGGAAACACACCCCAAAAUAUCUUCUCUCAGCCAACAUGAAGAGAUUUUAAGAUAGCGGGGAAAACAUGAGAACCUAGGAAACUGAAAACAAUCAAACAACUGAAAUAACAAGCAGCAACCGGCAAACAGCUAGGAAAAAAAGCAGCUGGAGAAAAUUCAAAAAGAGAUAGCCCUUCUCCAGGAGCUAGAAGAUUUAGAAAUGAGUC
rnacentral:lncRNA from 10 species